rnacentral:rRNA from 1 species
GUGGCGAACGGGUGAGUAACACGUGGGUAACCUGCCUCCAAGCGGGGGACAACUCCUCUAACGAGGGGCUAAUACCGCAUAAUGCAUCGUUCUCGCAUGUGAAUGUUGCCAAAGGUGGCCUCUUCUUGAAAGCUGCCACUUGGAGAUGGACCCGCGCUCCAUUAGCUUGUUGGUGAGGUAACGGCUCACCAAGGCUACGAUGGAUAGCCGGCCUGAGAGGGUGAUCGGCCACACUGGAACUGAGACAAGGUCCAGUCCCCUACGGGGGCCAGCAGUCUAGAAAUUUGCACAAUGAACGAAAGUUCGAUGCAGCGACGCCACGUGAAGGAUGAAGCCUCUAGGGGUGUAAACUUCUGUCAGGAGGGAAGAAUGCGGAGGGGUGAAUAGCCCUUUCGUUUGACGGUACCUUCAGAGGAAGCUCCGGCUAACUUCGUGCCAGCAGCCGCGGUAAUACGAAGGGAGCGAGCGUUGUUCGGAUUUACUGGGCGUAAAGGGCGCGUAGGCGGGCUUGUAAGUCGAAUGUGAAAACUGUGGGCUCAACCGACAGACUGCAUUCGAAACUACAUGCCUUGAGUCUAGGAGAGGAGAGCGGAAUCGGCAGUGUAGCGGUGAAAUGCGUAGAUAUUGCCGAGAACACCGGUGGCGAAGGCGGCUCUCUGGUCUAGUACUGACGCUAAGGCGCGAAAGCUAGGGGAGCGAACGGGAUUAGAUACCCCGGUAGUCCUAGCCGUAAACGAUGGGCACUAGGUGUUGGAGGUGUUGACCCCUUCAGUGCCGCAGCUAACGCAUUAAGUGCCCCGCCUGGGGAGUACGCACGCAAGUGUGAAACUCAAAGGAAUUGACGGGGGCCCGCACAAGCGGUGGAGUAUGUGGUUUAAUUCGAUGCAACGCGAAGAACCUUACCAGGGUUUGACAUCCUGCGAAUCCCUUGGAAACUUGGGAGUGCCUUCGGGAGCGCAGUGACAGGUGGUGCAUGGCUGUCGUCAGCUCGUGUCGUGAGAUGUUGGGUUAAGUCCCGCAACGAGCGCAACCCACGUCUUUAGUUGCCAGCAUUCAGUUGGGCACUCUAGAGAGACCGCCGGUGAUAAACCGGAGGAAGGUGUGGAUGACGUCAAGUCAUCAUGCCCCUUACAUCCUGGGCUACACACGUACUACAAUGCUACGGACAAAGGGCAGCAAACUCGCGAGAGCUAGCAAAUCCCAUAAACCGUGGCUCAGUUCAGAUCGUAGGCUGCAACUCGCCUACGUGAAGGAGGAAUCGCUAGUAAUCGCAGGUCAGCAUGCUGCGGUGAAUACGUUCCCGGGCCUUGUACACACCGCCCGUCACACCAUGGAAGUUGGCCAUGCCCGAAGUCGAUACUCCAACCCGCAAGGGAGGAGGACGCCGAAGGUGGGGCUGAUGACUGGGGUGAAGUCGUAACAAGGUA